rnacentral:lncRNA from 1 species
AUGAAACAGAAUUAAAAAAAAGGUAUCACAUGGAGAACCUCGAUAGAAGCAGAACGCAGAGGAAAGAAGCCAUAAAGUUGUCCAUAUGAUGAUAAUCACAAUCGAUAAAAAAGUGUGCAUCAACUAAAUCGUUAAGAUUAAAACAUCAAUGUCUAUCUGAAUAGGACUAUGAAACCACCUCAAAGGUUCAACAUUUGCACAAGUAACACCAAUUGAAACAGAAUACAGGACAAUAAACUCACUGAUCCUAAGCGGUCCUUUUACUAUCAUUAAAACUUUAAAAACAGGUUAUACCAGGCUGAGAACACAACAAAAAAGACAAGGGCAAUCCUUAGCUUCUGCAUAGAAAACAGCAACAUUUACAAGUCCUAAUACCAUUCAAACGUAAAACUACUCAACAGGUUGAUAAUCCAUCAAACUACAAAAGACAGUCCUUAGCGACAUUUAGGAUCUUCUUCAGACUUGACACUAGCAUCUCGAUAACACAACAACUUUGCAAAGAAGAGGUCUUUUUUAAGCAGAUGAUAAUAGUUUACCUGAGUGGUGAGGAGCAGGAUAGCCUGCAGGUGGAUAACCGGCAUGGCCAGGAGCAGGAGGAUAACCACCGGGUGCACCUGGAUAUCCUGCGGGUGGGUAACCCUGUUGUGGCGGGUAACCCUGUUGCGGAGGGUAACCAGCGGGCGGGUACCCUCCAGGAGCGGGUGGGUAAUGAUGUCCAAAACCAUGAAACCCUUUCUCUUGCUCAUCAUGAUGCUUGUCUUUACCACCUCCCAUUGUUUUCUUACUCAAUUAUUCAGCAAAAUUUUAAAAACCUACAAGAGUUUGAUAUAUACAUCAACAUCAGGUUCAAAGAUCACGCAAAACUGAACAUUUGACUUGCUAGAUUUCGAAACAAAGAAAUCUGGUUAACAAGUCUUGACGGAUCAUACCAACCAAAAUGAGAAAACAUCUGUUCUGCAAAUAAAUCACAUCGAUGGUCAUUGAUCCUAGGCAAAUUCGACGAAUAACGAAAUCCAAUAAUUCAGAUUUGUUUCUAAUCGAAACCAUUAGCGACUCGUUAACAUAAUCAUCGAUCGAUAUAGCUCAAGAUGGAUCCAAAUACAAAAGCCAGAGAUCAUUUCCGCAACGAAUAAACACGAUCCAAUCAUACAAAAACAAAGAGAGGAAACGAAAAAUAGAGAAAAUGGAGAAAUUUUUAC